rnacentral:lncRNA from 1 species
AGUACUACAUAAGAGGUGUCUUUGCAGAGCUUAAGAACGAUUUAUGGGUUGGAGCACACUAAUACUGUAUUGAAAAGGGAUAGACAGCCAACCAGGUAUGCAGUUAUACGCCUUUUGUUCCAUGUGGUUAUCAAAGUAAUUGAUGCCAUUUAUUACCGUAAUCCUAUCACAUGAUAUAUUCUUAACAAAGGAUUUGAUGCCAUAUUUUUUACCUUAAUCCUAUAAUAAGACAGUCUUAUUUUCUGGUCAUGGAAUGAGAGCUUGCAGCUUAUACAUGAUGUCUUGCAAGCCUUGCAAUUUUUAUGGACAUUUUUUAUAAGUGGUUGGAAUUUUUACUGACAUGUUCUCAAGAUAUUCAUAUUGCGCUCUUGCUGCCUCUUGAUUUUAUAUGUUUAGAGUAAUGCCCAUCCAUCAUGUUAAAGGAAUUUCUCUGGUGCUAAAUCAAUCCCAAAUAAAUGUUACCAAUGUGUAAAAAAAAUCUGAUUAUGUUCUUUUAAGUUUCUUUUGAAUAUGAUUGUUAUCCCCAUUUCUAGACUGUUGACACUGCCCUAUUACAUGUACAGUGGUAGACUUCCCUUUUUGAUUGACUCUGGAUCUAAAGAAGUAUAAGCAUGUAGAGGAACUGGUGGUCCACCUUGCUACUCCAAAUGGACAGCCUGAUUUUAUCCAUGUGUUGGACUAAAUGAUAUUUGAUGAUUUGAGCCUUGCACCGGUAGGGUUUCCACAACACUAGGUAUGAUCUAAACAAUGGCUGAAAAUAUUUAUUGGAGCAUUUGUUUCAAACAAAUUUGUUGAAAGACAUUUCAAAUAUUUUAGUGCUUGUGAUAUAUUUUAGAUAGUACCGCUUUAAUGUGGCGUGGUACAGUUUGCCUUCUAUCAUGAACUUCGAACACUUCUAAAAAAUAUGCAAGAUAAUUUCCCUUUCAGCUGGCAAUUGGGUUAAAUUCAUGUACACAUCAGCACUCGGUAUCUCUAAAAACUAUAUGUGUGGGAACUCUUGAAGUAAAAUACGAUAUUGUCAGCUCGAUUGUUAUUUUAGUCAACAAAAUAUUUAAAAUUUUAAUGAAAAUGUGCAACAUCCAAUAAUAUAGUAGGUAUUAAUUAACAUUUAUAGUGAUUAUCAACAUCUUCGUUAAAUACGAUGUUUUUGCAUUGCGGAGGUCCAAUGAUUCUGGCUAUAUGCACUGGAGUUUAAUCCAUCUAUGUGAACUAAUUAGAUAUCUAUCUAUGUGAAUUUAGAGAUACAUAUGUGUUUGGGAUGAUUUCAGAGUACCAUUACCGGCCCUGUAGGUCCAUCGAAUUCGAUUGUUCUGGUUUUUUUUUUCAUUUUUUUACUUAACGAAGAUGUAUUUUCACUAUGAAGUUUAACAAUUAAUAACUAUUGGGUGUGUUCCGCAACGCAAUACACAAUGAAUUGGAUUCUCCUUGGCAUGAGGCGACAUGCCUUUGAAUUACCAAGUUUUAUUUGGUUGUUUGUUUCAUGUGUUAAUUCUGUAAUUGUACCAAUGUCCAUUCAUACGAAAAUGCAGGGUACUACAAUGAUGAAUGUAUGAUUUUGGUAGUUCCAUAAAAUAAAUAAAAUAUUUAGGACAUUGAAAUGUAGGGGUUGAGGUUUACAAGUCUACUCGAGUUAAAAAAUAUUUAGGUGAGGAUCUUUGUAGAUGAGUCCCUAUACAUAUAUUGAUGGGAGAUAUUUUAGGGGACAUGUUAAGUUUCUCUAACUCCGGUUCACGAUUCCUCGGAAAUCCUCCCAUGGAAAUCCUCCCAACCAUAACCAUUUACGGUAAACAACAUAUUUUGUUACUAUUUUAGUUAUCUUUUUAUCAAAUUUUCUUUAGUGAAAGCAAU